rnacentral:rRNA from 1 species
UACGUAGGGCGCAAGCGUUGUCCGGAAUUAUUGGGCGUAAAGAGCUCGUAGGCGGCUUGUCACGUCUGCUGUGAAAUCCCGGGGCUCAACCCCGGGCGUGCAGUGGAUACGGGCUGGCUAGAGGCAGGCAGGGGAGAACGGAAUUCCCGGUGUAGCGGUGAAAUGCGCAGAUAUCGGGAGGAACACCGGUGGCGAAGGCGGUUCUCUGGGCCCGU